rnacentral:tRNA from 1 species
AAUUCAUAUUACUAGAAUACAUUGGUAUCGAAGGAACUAGAUUCUGUUCCGAAAUAUCACUUACUCGAACCGUCCUGACCGCGUGGCUCGGUUGGGGGAGCAUUGGGCUAGUAUUCCAAAGGUCGUGGGUUCGAAUCCCACCGUGGCCGGGCAUAUUUUUCAAGCUCGCCCGGUGUGGAUAUACACUCAGAGUAACACCACAAAUAUCAUAUUCACCUGAGUACACUGCACCAACACAGAAAAAAUUCAUAUUACUAGAAUACAUUGGUAUCGAAGGAACUAGAUUCUGUUCCGAAAUAUCACUUACUCGAACCGUCCUGACCGCGUGGCUCGGUUGGGGGAGCAUUGGGCUAGUAUUCCAAAGGUCGUGGGUUCGAAUCCCACCGUGGCCGGGCAUAUUUUUCAAGCUCGCCCGGUGUGGAUAUACACUCAGAGUAACACCACAAAUAUCAUAUUCACCUGAGUACACUGCACCAACACAG